rnacentral:rRNA from 1 species
UGCCAGCCGCCGCGGUAAUACGAAGGGUGCAAGCGUUGUUCGGAUUUACUGGGCGUAAAGCGCGCGCAGGCGGAUUAAUAAGUCAGAUGUGAAAUCUCGGGGCUCAACCCCGAAACUGCGUCUGAAACUGUUGAUCUAGAGUUAUGGAGGGGAGAAGGGAAUUUCGCAUGUAGGGGUAAAAUCCGUAGAGAUGCGAAGGAACACCAGAGCCGAAGGGGCUUCUCUGGCCAUACACUGACGCUGAGGCGCGAAAGCGUGGGUAGCAAACAGGAUUAGAUA